UUAAUUAAUUUAUAAUAUUGUGUUGAUGGUAUAUAUGUCAAUGAUGUAUUUGUGAUGAUGUAGAUAUAUAUAUAUAUAUAUAAUAUUGUUAUGUAAUUAUUAAGUAUAUAUAUAUGUGUGUGUGUUAAUUAAUUUGUUAUUAAUUAGUUGUAGUACAUACGUAGAAUAUAUACUAAAUGAAUUGAGAUUUUAUAUAUGCAUGGCAUGAAAUUUCAUUAAUAAUUAGCUAACGUUAUACAUAUAUAUUUUGUUAUAUUUUCAGGAUAUGGAUAAGAGUUGGAUUUCGCUUCCAAAAUGGGAGAAAGUUAUGGUGCAGGAGUUAUGAGUUUUAUAGAAUAUGCGCUGGCUAAUGCUAACGGGAAUACAAUUUUCUAUUGCCCGUGCACGAAAUGUCAGUGUCGCAGCGAUAUGCAUCGAUUUCCCAUUGACAAAGUAUGACAACACCUGAGGAGUAACGGGUUUUGGGAGAAGUACACAUGUUGGUUAUAUCACGGUGAAACAUCAUUAGGGGGUCCGCAUGAUCAUGGCCAAUUUUCUGAGACGGGCAGUACUAGUACAUCCAACGAUCCAACAACGGCAUUCAUCAACAUGUUUCCUUAUGAAAGCGGUGUAUGCGCUCAAGAACAGUAUAUGUCUGACCCGGUGCAGCCCUUCCCUAGAGCUGUCAACAUUGCUGGUAUUGGAAAGUACAACAAACUGCUUGCUUUCCAACAUACCCCUGUGUACCCCGGUUGUCAGAAGACCGUUCUUGAAAGUGUGAUGGACGUAAUGAAGAUUAAAGUUGAGACAAAAUCGACCGUGAAGGCUGUUAAUAAUUAUCUACAGUACACUGCUUCGAUGCUGCCCCACGGUCAUCGUCUUCCUACCACUCAUCGUAAGGUCCGAUGUAUCCUGAAAGAUCUUGGGCUUUCCUACAUCAAGAUCCAUGCAUGCAGAUAUGACUGCGUUCUCUUCUGGGGUAAAGAUCCAGAAGGGAAUGACCUUGGUGGGCAUAACGCAUGUCCGGUAUGUCACACUGACAGGUAUAAGCUGACUCCUGCAGGCAAUAGGAAACCUGUGAAGGUACUUCGGUAUUUCUCGUUGAGGGAUAGGCUGGAGCGGCUGUACAUGUCUUCACACACGGCCAAAGCUAUGAGAUGACACGCUGAUAGGGAAUUGCAUGACGAAGAUACCCUUAUACACCUUGCUGACAAGGAGGCUUGGAAGCAUAUAGACAGGGAGUUUCCUCAUUUUGCGUCAGAGGUCCGAAAUGUGAGGCUCGGGCUCUCAUCCGACGGGUUCAACCCUUUUGGCAACAUGAGUCUUCAAUACAGUGUAUGGCCGGUGAUUUUGGUACCGUACAACCUUCCUCCAUGGAUGUGCAUGAAGAAGGAAUACAAUAUGUUGAGUUUGUUGAUUCCGGGGCCCGGUUAUCCAGGGAAGUGUCUCGAUGUGUAUUUGAGACUUUUGAUUGAAGAGCUUCAGUUUUUGUGGGACGUUGGUCAUCCUACUUAUGAAAAGUACAUGCACGAGAUGUUCCAGAUGCAUGUCAUGGUUGUUGGUACCAUCAGUGAUUUUCCUGCCCGUGGGAUGUUGUCGGGCAGCGUUGUUAAGAGAUACAAGGCUUGUCCAGAGUGCCUUAGCGAUGAGGGGAGCAGCAGUCAUUGCAACAAGAUAUGCAGAUUGGGUCACCGUGCUUUCCUUCCAUAUAAUCACGAAUGGCGGUUCGAUGACAAGGCAUUUGAUGGGACCGUAGAACACGGUGUGCCUCCCAGAAGAUGGACGGGGGAAGAAAUUUUAGCAGUGCUUAAUGAGUAUGANNNNNNNNNNNNNNNNNNNNAAGCCAUGCCGGUAGAUGUACCGAAGUUCAAUCUUUCCAUACUCUCUAGUGAUGUUGAAGUUUAUGGAAUUUUGCCAGACUCUUACAAGUUGCAACCGCAUGAGCUAGUCAUUGCCCACUGGUGGGUAUUGAUUAACUGUCCAGAAGUUGAAUAUUGGAAAGACAUCCAUCUAUAUUGUCCAGACAUUCAUGGUGAUCUCGAGUACCACAACAGGGAGUUCGCAAACUAUUUUGGCGGCUGGGUACGUAAUUCAAUAUUUCUGUACGUAUUUAUGUUUAUUGCAUAAUUAUCCAUAUUUACAAUGUUGAAUGGUUGGUUGCAGAUGAACCAUAUUCAAUUUGAUGGUCACCCAAAUUGGUCGCACGAACUAAGACUUCUAGCGAUGAAGCCGAUAAUGUCAAGAGUUUAUCCGAUGUGCAAGGUGAAUAGCGUGCAAUUUAUAUGUGAACAGAGAGACAGCAGAUGGAGAACAUAGAAUUCUGGGGUGAUGGUGCAUGGUGGGCGGAAUGGAGUUGACUAUUACGGUGUUCUCCAUUCAGUGGUGGAACUCGUUUACGGUGAAGGCAUGACAAUGCACCUCUUCAAGUGUAGAUGGUUUGAUACUAGCCCGCAGAGCAUGAAGACCGAUCAGUACGGAAUAUUAUCGGUGAACACUGCUACAAGUUCUUACGAAGAUGACCCGUUCGUUUUUCCCACAUCGGUAAAACAAGUGUUUUAUCUUGAUGACCUUGCUAAGGGUGACGCGUGGAAAGUAGUCAACCUUGUGCACCCUCGAAACAUUUACCGGGCGGCUACACUUGGAGAGGCCGAAGACCAGGAAGAAGAUGUUGCGUAUCAAGAGCCCAACGCAAUAGGUAUUCUUAACUCCUCUACCGUUCGCCUUAAUAAUUUUAAAGUGGGUCGUUCGGUGCGAAUUCGUGAUGAAGAGCCAAGGCUUAUUGAUGUUGAUCCAAAUCAAGAAACAGACGAAGACUCUGGCGAUGAGGAAAUGCAUAGAUUACCAGAAAUUAAUUCUGACACCGAAGAAGACUCAUUGGAUGAUUCCGAUUACGAGCCUUAGUUUUAAUUUAGAGGACGUAAUACAUUAAUUUGUAAUAAAAAAGAUUGUAUUACCUUAAUUUAUAGUUUACAUAUGUUGAAUUCAUAUUUCUGUUAUUUUAUAUGAAUUUUGGUGAUAUAUGAACAGGAAAUUAGUAUGGUUUAAACCUUCAGUUUUAGGGUUUGUAUUUUAUUACUUAAGCCGACGAAAUACGCAUUAAUUCGUCGGGCCAAACCAUCUUAACCGACGAAUUAUAUUAUAAGUCGUCGGUUAAAACCAUAUUAACCGACAAAUUAUAUUAUAAGUCGUCGGCUUAAACUAUCUUAGCCGACGAACUAUAUUAGAAGUCGUCGGCUAAACCCAUCUUAGCCGACGAAGUCAAUUAGAAGUCGUCGGCUAAAACCAUCUUAGCCAACGAAGUAUAUUAGAAGUCGUCGGCUAAAACCAUCUUAGCCGACGAAUACCCUACUAUUUCGUCGGCUUUAUUAAUUUUUUAUUUUUUAUUACAUACUAUAGCUGACGAAUGUAUUCGUCGGCUAAACCCUAAACUUUUUCUGUUACAUACUGUAGCCCUGCCCUAUCUUCGGUGGUUAUUUUGCGUAAAAUUUUUAUACGACUUGUUGCGUCUCAUCGAUUUGAAAAUAUUUUCAGUUGAAAGUCCAGCCAAAAUACGAAAUUUAGACGGUCCAACGACCUUUUUCGUGCAUUUAGGGGUUUGACUUACGGGAUUGACCGUCCGGAUCGAGCACUUCACCUUGUCGGAUCAAGUUGCAUUUUUUCCCAUACAUGUAUUUUAUCAUGAUUGUCAGAUCUGACCGUCGGAUUUCUGUUUCUCAAGUUUGAUCAUCAUAACCACAACAUGCCUACUAAUGUUGUAUAACUUAUUUACCAAGUGUUAAGUAAAUGUUCCGUUUCAAAAACAAACUAUACGUAAAACCUUCAAACGCAAAAAAGUCGUGAAAUAAGAUAUAACCAGAAUGGCGAAAUACGUCCACGGUUAAAAAAUCACAAUAUUCCGGUAAAGUUUUGGUGCCGAUAGUUGCGGUCAAUGGAAUUUUUCAUUCUUUCUCCCUAUGAGUAGCCGUAUCUUCGGUGGUUAUUUUGCGUAAAAUUUUUAUACGACUUGUUGCGUCUCAUCGGUGUGAAACUAUUUUCAGUUGAAGGUCCGGCCAAAAUACGUAAUUUACACAGUCCAAUGACAUUUUCCGUGCGUUUAGGGGUUUGACUUAAUGGAUUGACCGUCCGGAUCGAGCCCUUGACCUUGUCGGAUCAAGUUCAAGUGUUUUCCCAUACAUGUAUUUUAUCAUGAUGGUCAGAUCUGACGGUCGGAUUUUCGUUUCUCAAAUUUGAUCAUCACAAUCACAAUCACAGUUUGACGAAUGUAUAAAAAGUACUAUAGCUGACGAAUUUCAAAGGUUUAGCCGACGAAUUUCAUAGGUUUAGCCGACGAAUUUCAAAGGUUUAGCUGACGAAUUUUAUCUUAGCCGACGAGAUGAUUAUUUUAGCCGACGAAAUUAUUAUCUUUAGCCGACGAAAUAAUAAUUUCGUCGGCUAAAGUUUCGGGUAUAAGCCAGCGCUCGACUGGUUGAAAGCCCUAGCUUCCGCCUCCUCUCCCUCUCCGAAUUUCCCCUCCUCCGCCUCCGCUCCCUCUCUCGGUCGCCGCCCUCUCCCUCUCCCUCUCCCGGUCGCCGCCCUCUCCCUCUCCCUCUCCCGGUCUCCGCCUCCUCUCCCUCUCCCUCUCCCGGUCUUCGCCUCCGCUCCCUCUCCCUCUCCGGCCGGCCUCUUCCUCCUGCUCCGUCCGGCGAUUAAGUCUUCAUGCUCCUGCCGGCCUCCUCCUCCUCCGGCCUGCUCCGGCCGGCCGGCCUCCUCUUCCUCGAGUUCAUUUCUGAGCUUUAGUUUUAUUUUGUGUUUCCUUUUAUUUUCCGGUCAAUUGCAAUGUUGUGGUGUUGUUAGGAAGUGUAUAUUUGUAUUGAGGAAGUGUAUAUUUUUNNNNNNNNNNNNNNNNNNNNCACUAUAUAUAUAUAUAUAUAUAUAUAUAUAUAUCUCUCUCUCUCUCUCUCUCUCUCUCUUUUUAUUGGAUGGUCAUUGUUGGUUAUCAAAUUUGCUAGUUGGCAAAUUUGAUUCCCUGCUUGUGAUGCUUGUGAUGACUUGACACCAGCUUGAGAGAGGAUUAUUGCCACUUAAUCACUUACUAAUUUUCAAUAUAUCCUACCUUGAUGAGUUCAAAAUUAUUUUCUCCAAUAUCACAAAUUAUAAAAAGAAAACCUGAUUCUCUAAGUUUUAAUUUGUUAAGACAAAAUAUUUAAAAUCUCAUAUAUAGUUUGUGGAGCUAUAUAUAGGUACGUACAUGUAUAUAUAUGUUGAUUAAUUGAGUUUUAUUUGAGUUGAUUGAUUUUGAGUGUGAUUGAGUUGAUUGAUUUUGAGUACGUUGGAUGUGUAUAUAUAUAUAUAUAUAUGUGUUGAUCGAUUUCGUUGAUGAUUUGAUAAUAUAUAUGAAUUAAGUUGUUGUUAAUAAAUAGUAGAUAUAUAUAUAUAUAUAUGUUAAUUAAUUAUAAUAUUAAUGUGUUGAUAUGGUAUGAAGUUGUUGAUGAUAUAUAUGAGUUGAUGAUGAUUUUGUGAUGAUGUUGAUAUAUAAUAUUGUUAUGAUCGAGUUGAUUGAUUUUGAGUAUGUUGGACGUAUAUAUAUAUAUAUAUAUAUGUUGAUCGAUUUGGUUGAUGAUUUGAUAUAAUAUAUAUAUAUAUAUAUAUAUAUGAAGUUGUUUAUAAGUAGUAGAUAUAUAUCAUCCCCCUUCUAUUGAGGAAUCCCUAUUUUUGACCACUUUCUAGGGAUAGGGCAUUACACCACUUCCCAAUUGAAUUUUUACAUCUUCACCGUUCAUAUCUUAGGUCUAUAUGAGUAGAUCACCUCUACAAAAUUUCAUAUGAUUUAGUGAUCGUUAAGAUUUUCAAAAGUUUGAUUUAGUUUUAAUGAUUUUGAACGGUCCAGCUUAUGUCAAACUAAAACCGUUGAAGGUCAUUAAAACUAAAUUGAAUUUUUGAAAGCCUUAACGAUCAUCAAAUCAUAUGAAAUUUNNNNNNNNNNNNNNNNNNNNNNNNNNNNNNNNNNNNNNNNNNNNNNNNNNNNNNNNNNNNNNNNNNNNNNNNNNNNNNNNNNNNNNNNNNNNNNNNNNNNNNNNNNNNNNNNNNNNNNNNNNNNNNNNNNNNNNNNNNNNNNNNNNNNNNNNNNNNNNNNNNNNNNNNNNNNNNNNNNNNNNNNNNNNNNNNNNNNNNNNNNNNNNNNNNNNNNNNNNNNNNNNNNNNNNNNNNNGAAGCCAUGUCCCGGAUCGACACUUCGGAUCCGACGGUUGGGGCGAGGAUCAUGGGCACAGCCUUCCCACCGCGAGCAAACAACUUCUACUGCCGGGGUCUAGGAAAGAAGGGCGAGGGGGUCCUGAAGACCACUCCAGGAUUUCAACGAAAGGCAGCCUCGACCAGCAGCAGGACCACGACCACCAGGACGACUCAGCUGCUACAGUCGGAACUUCAGAGACUACGGGAACAGCAAGCUGCUCAUGUUACCUAUAAUGCAGCGCAGGCAACCUAUAAUGCCGCGUAGGCAGCCUAUAAUGCCGAGGUACAUGCCAUCCAUCAGGUCCAGCAGCGGCAGAUGUUCCAGUACAUGCAGGACUUUACAGCUGCCCAGCUCCAGGGACUUCUGGCUCCGCCCAUACCGCUACCCCAGCCGCCGCAAGCUCCGCAGCAGCCCCCAGAACCGGAUAUUAAUUUAGACGAUCUAGAUUUGGUGUAGUUGAUGAAUUAUAUACUUUUAUGUGCUUGUUGUUGGUUAUAUGGAAUUGUUUUUGUGUUUUUUGCAGCUUACUUGGAAUGGUAAUUUAAAAAUUUCGGGUUUUUUUUAAUACUGGAAUGGACUUAUAGCCGACGAAAUAAACCAUAAUUCGUCGGCUAUAGUAUUUUUAAUUAUUUUUUAAUAGGGUUUAGCCGACGAAUAAUGGAAUGUUUCGUCGGCUAAACCCUUAAAAGCCGACGAAAUACGGUCUAUUUCGUCGGCUUUAGUUAUUUUUUAUUUUUUUAUUACAUACUAUAGCCGACGAAUAUAUUAAGCGUAUCGUCGGCUAAAGCUGAGAGAAUAGCCGACGAGUUGUUUCGUCGGCUAUAGAUAAGAAACUAGCCGACGAGUUGUUUCGUCGGCUAAAGUUUAGAGACUAGCCGACGAAAAAACUCGUCAUCGGCUAAAGUCUGUAAGACUCGUCGGCUAAAGUCUGAGAGACUAGCCGACGACGUCUUCUGUCGUCGGCUAGCUAUGGGACAAUAGCCGACGACGGGCUAUAGUUUCGUCGGCUAAAGUCAUUGCCGACGAGCCUUUCCCGACGAAACUAUAGCCGACGAAGUCUCGUUGGCUAAGAUCUCAGCCGACGAAUUAAGCUAACAGGCCGAUAAAGAAUUUUCGUCGGCUAAAGUGCUUGUCCCGGUAGUGAAGCGAAGGGAGCUCCUCUCGCAUAGUCAGAGAUUCACAGUCGCCGGGUCAUAGUCGAAGGCUGCCGCUGACAAAAGUUUGUUCUUUUCGAAACCCUAGCAUAGGAAGCUAGAGAGCAAAGAUAUAUUUUUUUAGAAGGAAAUUACUUGAUAUUGCAAAUAAUAUAAAUUUGAACGAUAGGAUCCAAACUAGUUUGAAUGCUAGUAUUUUCCGAAAACAAUUCAAUGUACUGUAUCACUUGAACAAAAAAGAACAAUCCAGUGUAUUCUUUUGUCAAUAAUCUAAUUCUAUUUUUAUCUGUGGGCUGUGGCUAAGCAAAUAAUUACUCCCUUAGAAGAUAACAUGCUUUAUGCUCAGGCUUCACUGCAUUUAAACAGAUUCCAACCAUAGUCUUACAAGUAAGAAUCAGUUGUUCUAAGAGAGUAUUAUUGUUCGUCGACUAUCAGUUUCCUGAUACCAUUUUUUGUUUUGAUAUGAUUCAAUCUUUCAAAGUGAUUUUUGUAUGCAUUUUUGGUGCCUGAGCAGAUUGAAUUGAAAACUAGCUGAAACAAGUCUCACUCCAGUUGAUGUUUAAGCAACUAUUCACAUAUGCUAGUCUAGACAGGUUCAGGUAUCAAAAAUUAGUGGAAAGAGCGCUUGCAUUGCAUAGUGGAAUAGAAAAGAGAAUUAGACCGUUCCUUUUUGGCUUUGCUGUGGGUGAUUGGAAUUGAGCCAAUUGGCUUCAAGAAGAAUGGUAUAUUUCUCAGUGGUUAGUGAGUCUUAUUAUAGUGGUGAGUAGAGAAAUCCAGAAAGAGUGGUCAUGGAUAGUGACCAUGCCCGGACUUGAUAUGAGGCUGAGGAGUCAGCCGAUUCAAGGCGGGCCCAGAAAAAAAUUAACAAGUUUUCAUUAAUCAUCCUAUAAAUACUGUAAUCGAGCUCAAGUUUUGCCAAAUUAAAUUAAAAGAAAAUACUGACAUGAUGGGCCCAUACAAGUUCAACAAGUUAUAUAUAAUUAUAGUAUAUUUUAAAAUCUAUUGAAGUAAGAAACUUGUUUUUUUGAACAGAAAGAAAUUUGUUUUAUAAAUAUGAUUAUUAAAAUAUUAUCUAAAUAGGAUUACUAGAAUAUUUAGAUAUAAAAUUACUAAAACAUAGAGAGGUUUGGUAAUCUCUACAUAUAUUCGGAUAUUACAUGAAUAUAUUUUUGGAAAUUACAUGUUUGUUGUUUAUUAUUGUUAAUUAGCUAGUUCCUGAAAAACUUUUAUAAAGAAAAUGCAUUUAAUAAAAAAAAUGACACGAAAUGCACAUUAUGAUUUGAGGGCCCAACUUUUAGAGUUCGAUUCAGGCAUGAAAAUCUCAGGUCCGGGCCUGAUAGUGACAACUUGAUGAUACAUAUGAUAUUUAUAAGAAAUGCAUACCUAUGCUCUUAUUUCUUUUGUUUAAGCAUGUGGAAGCUUGUGGGACUACUGUUUUAAGAAGAAUUUGGUCUACUGUUUCUUUUUUCAGACUAAUACAACCAAAAUUGCUCUAUCAAAAAUGAAAGAACUCAGUAGGAUCUUUAUUUUUUGAUCGGAUUGAAGGUUAAUUAAUACAUUUUCUUCUAUGAGGAAAUGUAAUCGGUUCUAUAAUAUUUCCUAAAGAAAAAAAAACCCUAUUUUAAUCCUAUUAAAAAAAUCAUAUACAAGUAAAAAAUUUGUUUAUCGUAUUGGAAAAUGUAUCGCUUAUUAGUUUUUUUGUGGCAUAAAUGAGGUCAGAAAGUUCUUGUUCCAGAGCUUGUGGUAUAAAAGGAUUGAAUAUUUUUAUAUUUCGUGUCCUAUUUAGUUUAGAUCUUAUACUCUAGGAAAAUAAGAUUCAAGUUUGUACCCCUUAUUUGUAUAUACUCUUUCUAUAGUUAGUUACCGAUUAGUUUAGAUUACGUAAUCUACUGUUAUGAGUUGUAAAUGUGGAAUAGGCCUUAACACGCUCUACUAAUCAAAAUUUUCAGGAAUUUCUAGAUUCUGAGAACAAAAGGUUAGAGAGGUUCGGAGUAGUAUUUUUGCUUUCUGAAAUAGGAAAUCAUUUAAAAGCUUUUUGAUA
rnacentral:lncRNA from 1 species